AGUGAACGCUGGCGGUAGGCCUAACACAUGCAAGUCGAACGAGUGGCGGACGGGUGAGUAAUACAUCGGAAUCUACUCUUUCGUGGGGGAUAACGUAGUGAAACUUACGCUAAUACCGCAUACGAUUGAAUGAGCCGAUGUCGGAUUAGCUAGUUGGGGGGGUAAAGGCCCGCCAAGGCAACGAUCCGUAGCUGGUCUGAGAGGAUGAUCAGCAACAAUGGAACUGAGGCACGGUCCGGACUCCAACGGGAGGCAGCAGUGGGGAAUGUUGGACAAUGGGCGCAAGCCUGAUCCAGCCAUGCCGCGUGGGUGAAGAAGGCCUUCGGGUUGUAAAGCCCUUUUGUUGGGAAAGCGGUACCCAAAGAAUAAGCACCGGCUAACUUCGUGCCAGCAGCCGCGGUAAUAC
rnacentral:rRNA from 1 species